rnacentral:rRNA from 1 species
CAAUAGCGUAUAUUUAAGUUGUUGCAGUUAAAAAGCUCGUAGUUGGAUUUCGGAUGGGAUUUGCCGGUCCGACGUUACGAUGUGCACUGGCCAGUCCUAUCUUGUUGUCGGGGACUAGCUCCUUGGAUUCACUUCCUGGGACUAGGAGCUGACGAGGUUACUUUGAGUAAAUUAGAGUGUUCAAAGCAAGCCUACGCUCUGAAUACAUUAGCAUGGAAUAACACGAUAGGACUCUGGCUUAUCUUGUUGGUCUGUGAGACCAGAGUAAUGAUUAAGAGGGACAGUCGGGGACAUUCGUAUUUCAUUGUCAGAGGUGAAAUUCUUGGAUUUAUGAAAGACGAACUUCUGCGAAAGCAUUUGUCAAGGAUGUUUUCAUUAA